rnacentral:tRNA from 1 species
AGUAGAGUGACUGAGGUUAAAGGUGUUAGAUUGUAAAUCUAUUAAGGGGAUGUUACCCCUCUACUA